rnacentral:misc_RNA from 1 species
UAUGCUUUGUUGGCUUGCUGGAAUAUUUAAAUUUAAUAAGUUAAAUGUAUAAAUGCUAGAAUGUACCGUCUCUAGCCUUGUUUCAGUUCCAGUUGAGCUUGCAUUUUUUGGUAGAUUUAGGUGGUAUACUAUCAAGUUUAGGGUUCUGAAAUAAUUGCUUAGCUUCAUAAUCAAUUUUUUUUUGGUUAUUUUUCAUUUACUAGCUAUUAUUG